UAGUGUAGUGGUUAGCACAUCUGCUUUGCACGUAGCAGGUCCUGGGUUCACAUCCCAG
rnacentral:tRNA from 1 species